rnacentral:lncRNA from 1 species
GGCGCCUCGGGAGGCGGGUCCUGUCGUCGCCAUGAUGGAGAAGGGCAGGAGACUGCUGACGCCGGCGCCGCCAUCUUGAGUGCGGGCCACACGUCGGGGACGAUUGCUGUGAGAUAGCUGACCCAGAGUGUCGUCUGCUCAGGCCCUGUGGAGUGUGGCCUUCAUGUGUACUCACUUCCCUGCGCCUCUUCCGGCCUCACCUGCUGGGGCACGUUAGCUCAGGGGAGAUGGAUAUCCAAAGCCAGCCGAGAGAACUGGACCUUCCUUAACAUCUCGGGGCACAUCCACCACAUGCCAAUCUAUGGCAAAGCAAGAGAGAAGACCCAGCUUGCAGCCCCCACUACGUCCUAGUUCAGGUGUCUGUCUCCUUGGUCGAAUCACUUAGCUUUCUGAGCCUGAGUUUCGUUUUGCGUAAGAUGAAACAAGAGCAGCCGCCGGGGGACAUGGGAUUAAACGAAGUACAAGUGUUGGUUUCUCAUCUCCGUGCAAGCAGAUUUAUCUGGCUCCUCGGUCGACAAAAUCAUCUCCUCAAGAAACAUGGGAUCCAGGGUCUGCUGGAGGAGACCCCCUUUCUGUUGUUAUCAUGUCCUUCAGAUGAGUAGAGGGUGCAGAGUGAGGAAAAGGAGAAGAGGAAUCAUGCCUUGAUGCAUUGGUAAGAGUGUUUUUGUUUGCACAUCUUGCAUUAUUAAUAUUCCUGUUUAGCAUAAUUAGCUACCUUCUCCAGCUUACAACCUGCAGUGUUUAUGCCUCCAUUUGAUAGCUCAGCCAUUAGCAAAGCAGUACAGUUCCCUGAAGGCUGAAUGCAGGUGGUUCUGAACAAUGCAGGGUGCCAGUUGCUCAGAAAAGCA